AGAAAGUGGAAAAAGUUAGUCGCAGGCCUGCGCUGCUUCUAGUCACACACAGAACAACACAAGUCACUGAUAAAAGAGUUAGAAGAGAGGGUCACUUUCAAGAAGGGAUAAAAGAGGAAAAUAUGGAUAUUACCGGUGGCUUUGGAGUUCGUGUCGUUUGGCCAAAAAACGAUUCUCUUUGAAACAGCCCUAAAAAGAAUGUAUCCUGUCUGUGGUGAAAUACAAAUGUGAAAAGCAUUCUGCAUGGAAUCUGUUGCGAUAACACUGCCACUGCAAAUGAGCAGAGAGGCAUGAAAUCUUGUGGUGGGAUUCAGCUCAAGCUCAUCUUUGGAUGCACGCAUGGAAGAAAAUGAUGAAUUGGUUGCAGUGACUCCGCUCGAUUCCGGCAAGUGAU